GCAGAGUUGUCCGAGAGGUCGAUGGUGCAGCACUCGAAAUGCUGUGUUGCCUAAUAGGUAACCCAGGGUUCGAAUCCCUGACUCUGCGCCA
rnacentral:tRNA from 1 species